GAGCUACUUCAAGCUAUUAGGAUUUAUCUGGUCAUGCUAGUCAAAGUAUCAAGCUGAAAUUUUCAAGAGGAAAAUAGAGAUUUUAGCAUUAUUGGUGUAUGCCUUCUUCUAUCAAAAUAUUCUCCAGUAUCUCCAUCAAUACAAACCUAUCAUCCUAAGAUUCUACCUAUGAAUUCACGUGAAGAUCUCCUUUAUCAAUUGGGAAAUCAUAAGCAAUGCUGGUAUCUUCUUCCUAGUAGUCUAAAUUUUCUUUAACUACUUGAUUCUUGCAACUACCAUCAUGUUGACCAUGCAGAUCAACACUUAGAAACUUUUUAGGAGCACUAUUUACUCUUUCAUUUGCAUUCUAUAGCUUUUUCUUUUCCUCUCUGAUAUUUAUGUUAACUAUUUUUCACCUUUGAGCUGCUCUAACUUGCCGUUUUGUUGCAUAUCAUGUGCAUUGCUCAUUACUGCAACUUUAUUUCCUUUGUCAACACUUCUCUGCACUGGCGAUGAAUUUUUCUACGGCAAUAUGGAAGUAAAAGCCUUAGAGACCAAAUAUUUUGUUGAUUCUUUUUCACCUUUAUCCCUAUCUCCUUGGUUAAUAUGUUGUUGACUAGUCAUUGUAGUUGCAGAGUUGUCUUUAUUUCUACAUUCUGCUUGCAUAUUAUCUUCUCUACUUAUUAUAGCAAUGGUGUUGCCUUUAGUGCUACAUUCCGCUGGCAUCUUAUCUUUACUUACUAAAGCUUGGAAUUGAUUAAUGGAAGAGAUUGAUUGUCACGAUUGGAACUACUUCUCCUAUCCCUAACUACUUCCACUUGCUUGGAUCCCUCACCCCUCUCCCACUUGACAGAACU